GAUGAAGAACGUAGCGAAAUGCGAUAAGUAAUGUGAAUUGCAGAAUUCAGUGAAUCAUCGAAUCUUUGAACGCACCUUGCGCCCUUUGGCUAUUCCGAAGGGCAUGCCUGUUUGAGUAUCGUGAACACCUCAACUCUCAUGGUUUGCCAUGAUGAGCUUGGACUUUGGGGGUUUUGCUGGCCUUUGGUCGGCUCCUCUCAAAUAAAUCAGCUUGCCAGUGUUUGGUGGCAUCACAGGUGUGAUAACUAUCUACGCUUGUGGUUUUCCAUCAGGUAACCUUCAGUGAUGGAGGUUCGCUGGAGCUCAUAAAUGUCCCUCCUCAGCGAGGACAGCUUUUUGAACGUUUGAUCUCAAAUCAGGUAGGACUACCCGCUGAACUUAAGCAUAUCAAUAAGCGGAGGA
rnacentral:misc_RNA from 1 species